CACACUCACCUAUAUAAGUGUAUUCACAGGUGUGCACACUCACCUAUAUAAGUGGAUUCAUAGGUAUGCACACCCACCUGUAUAAGUGUAUUCACAGGUAUGGACACUCACCUGUAUAAGUGUAUUCACAGGUAUGGACACUCACCUGUAUAAGUGUAUUCACAGAUGUGCACACUCACCUGUAUAAGUGUAUUCACAGGUGUGCACACUCACCUGUAUAAGUGGAUUCACAGGUAUGCACACUCACCUGUAUAAGUGUAUUCACAGAUGUGCACACUCACCUGUAUAAGUGGAUUCACAGGUGUGCACACUCACCUGUAUAAGUGUAUUCACAGGUGUGCACACUCACCUAUAUAAGUGUAUUCACAGGUGUGCACACUCACCUGUAUAAGUGGAUUCACAAGUAUGCACAUUCACCUGUAUAAGUGUAUUCACAGAUGUGCACACUCACCUAUGUAAGUGGAUUCACAGGUGUGCACACUCACCGAUAUAAGUGGAUUCACAGGUAUGCACACUCACCUAUAUAAGUGGAUUCACAGGUAUGCACACUCACCUAUAUAAGCGGUCUUCAUUUGCUUGAACCUCUUCACAAAUUCUAGGUCUCAGGGGCUGGGUUAUUCCUUUCUGCCUUCCUGUUGAGUAUCCAGGCUUGAGCCACUGGCACAGAUGUCCAGGGGACCGGGUUGGGGGACUGUUGACUCUCUCCUAGCUAGAUGGAAAAAUGGAAUUUGUGAGCAGUGUGAUAUAAGACUCUCCAUUUGGGGCAGUGAUUGCUUUUCAGGAAAUUUUAUACUUGGGAACAAAUCACUGGGCCAGUGAAUGUCAGUGACUGCAGGGCUGUGUAUAUAUUUUUUCUGUUUGGGUGCCCAGUUCCCAGCAUUCACUGUUCCUUGGUGAAUGUAGGGUUUCCCUCAUUUGGUCCUUGGGGAGCUCUGACAAGUCUCAAGGGCAAUGGAGACUGUGGAGAUCCUCUUUGCAUCUCCUGAGUGUUUGCCCACAUGACUCUCCAUUUCCUGCUAGCACAGUAGGUUUGUCCAUAUGGUCAGAUAGACUCUGAUUUAUACAAAUGUUGCAGUCAACAGGAUGUAGACACAAAUGAGCACCAACCUUCAGAUCUGCAGAGCCAGGCUCUGCUUUUUACUUGGUUUUUAUCCGACUGAACACCUUAGCGUUCUGUAUUCUUCAAGACCUAGGGACUUGAAAUAGACUUUUCAAAUUCUCCAACUCAGAUACAACUUGGCAACAUGGCCUGUCUGCUGCUACACAUGCCUAGAGCUUGGACUGCAAAGUUUGAUGGGAGUGACUCCGUACUGGGGGCUUUUUGCACACAUGUCUGGCAUCUGGACUGGAGUGACUUGAUGACGUUACUCCUAAUUGAAACCCUGGUACAUGUCCUCUCUGUGUGGCCACCUUGGGCUUUUUCUAUGGUGAUCCAGGGCUCCCUUAGUUCCAGGGACUAAAGAAACAACCAUGUAGUUUGUGCUGAGCCCCAGAAGCCUCACAGAGCAGUUCCUCCAUACUCUAUUGGUAAUAGUAACACAUAUUCUCAAGGGGCAGGGAGGAUGACAGGGGCAGUUCACAGCAGAAGGACAUGUUGAUGAGAGCGAUGUUAUAGCCAUAUUUGGAGCAUAUGCGCCAUAUUGCUUUGUUGUGAAAUGAAGAGAAAUGAGCUGGAACUGAAGUUAAUUGAGGAGACCACUUCUAACAUAAAAAUUAUGUGAUUCUGUCUCAUUUAAAUCCAACAUGAUUUUCAAAGUGAUGGUGUACCCUACUAGAGUCUACUUUAGGGUGCCAUUUAAAAAGUGAUCUGAAUAACGGAAGCUCAUUUCUUAGGCAGCAUGCAACACACCACAGAUGGACACCCACUUAUUUCUCCCAACAUUUUAUGCCAAGCUGAUGCCUUUUCAGUCUAGCUUCAUCUCUUGUGGCUUGUGACUAAUGAGGCCACAUGCCAGUGUCCCGGCACCAUUGCUGCUGGAGUCUGGGUGGAGUUAGUUGAGUUUUUGACAUGUGAGAGUCAGGACUAGAUGUAGAUCUGGGAAGUGAGUAAAACGUUGAAACUAGAUGAGUGGCUACUUGUUGCUUAGUAUCAUCUUUAGAUAGAGACUAGGACCGAAUCGAUGACUUCCCUCUUGGAGAAGGUCGAAGCAUCAUCUUUGGUAGUGGUACAGCUCAGAGUCAGAUACAGAGGUUUGCAGAAGGAAGGCGGUUGGGCAGAUGUCCUAGGAGGUGUCACCAUUAAGUCAAGAAGGGGUUAACGCAUUGACUAAUGUUUCAGUUUACAGGCGCUGGCCUCUCUCUUUGUUCUGUUUUAUCAGACGCAUUCAUCACGUUCAACCUGGCAACCCAACCAAAUAGCUAUUUAAGUUGUAAAAAUGAAUCAUGGCACAAUUUCAUGAACUGUGUGAUAUAGCUGAAUCUAAUCACAUUAUACAACGGGCCUUUGCCAACCCCGGGGUACCUGGUUCUAGGCUUCCUUGGAAUAAGUGAACAAUUAAACAAACAGGCUUCCAUAAUCACCAUCACAGUAGGAUGGCUGAUCAGUUGGGUUGUGGAUCUAGCGAUGGGCCACCAUGCAUGCUAGCUUGUCCCCAAAAGGCCUGAAAAUCAUGCAGGGGGUCAUCUGUCCUCUACAUCCUGCUGGGGUGCUCUUUGGCUUAUUAAAUGUGUGAGUAAAGAAGUCCUGGGAAGGGUGUUACCCCAUUAAUGAGAAGGUCAAAGAAAGAGCUCUACUCCAGCUCACUUACAUGGCAUCCCUUAGUACCGACUGAAAAGGUGAACAGACAGAGAAGCACUUGUUGGAGUGUCUCCUGCAAUGGAGCUAGACUUCUUCUCAGGUGCUUCGAACAUGUCUUUUUUUCUUAGUGACACACCUUGGGCUCCUAAGUCAUCUUUCCCUCAUUAUAAUACAGAUGAGGGAGAAGAGACUUGCAAAGGGCUAGCAACGUGCUGAAGGUCACCCAGCUCAUAAGUAUCAGGGUAGAGGUUUGCCUGACCACAAGGCAGAGAUGAGGGUGGGCUGGAGGUGGGCGAGGAACAAGAAAUGUUGGCUAAGUAGGUUAUGCAGGUGCCCAUCGAUAUGUUGCAUCAGGACACGAUGUUAUGGGUUGUGAAAAGGCGCUCGGGUGAAGAACACUGGUAGGUCCAUUAGAACAAGGAUGAGAACUUGACUCCUGAGGUAGGAGCAGACAGGAGAAACCUACAAUGGAAUCUUAUGUCUUCUGGAAGAAGAUAAGAAAGCUUUUAGACCAAGCCCUGUCUGAUGGCUGGGAGUUGGAGAUCAAAUUAGAGAGCUGUUCUGCGGUCCCUUGUAAGACUAUCAGUGACCUGCAAGUGUUCCUUGUGACUUCUUUCCCAUUGACCCUGCUUCUUCCCUUGUCCCCGGUCUGCCCAUCACCCCUUCCCUCUAUCUUCCUCCCUUGUCCCUGGUCUGUCCAUCACCCCUUCCAUCUACCUUCCUCCCUUGUCCCUGGUCUGUCCAUCACCCCUUCCCUCUACCUUCCUCCCUUGUCCUCGGUCUGUCCAUCACCCCUUCCAUCUACCUUCCUCCCUUGUCCCUGGUCUGCCCAUCACCCCUUCUCUCUACCUUCCUCCCUUGUCCCUGGUCUGUCCAUCACUCCUACCAUCUAUCUUCCUCUUUAUCUUUGUCUCCUCUGCCAUUCUUUCUCUUUGUUCUCUUUCUCAUUGUUCACCCCCCUCCUUCACUGCUCUUGUCCUCUCUCCCUUCCUGAACAUUUGACAGCCCCCACCCACUACCACCUUCACCCCACCCCUGCCCCGAUCCCCUCGUGCAUACCCUUUUCCUACAGAGUACAUAAAUAUAUAUAUUUUAAGUCUGUUUUCCUCUUGGUCGUGUCAGCAUAUUUUAGACUGCUGGGCUUUGCAUGUUUUGCAGCUGGUUUUGAUGCAGUUGUCAGACGGUGAUGGAUGAAUAUCAUCAUUUAAAGUGUAAAAGAAAAUGCCUUGGCACGGAGAGACACGAUCAACCGCCGUCUGCCAGCCGGGAUAGGCGGCCACCAUUCUCCCCUUCCCUCCCCCACCUCCCUCCGCCUCUGCCCAUGCUGCCCUUGCCAGAAUCUACAAAAGUCAUCUUGAAUCCUGUUGAAGCCAUGCAGCACGGGGCUCCUGCCUUUUUACAAUAUCACUUUGGUAGUUGUCAGAUCAUAUGAAACGUCAAAAUUCAUGUGGCCUCCAUGAAGAGAUAUAUUUAGUGUAGCUGCUGUAUACCUCCAUGCUCCCCCUGACACUGACAUAUUAGUUAUGCUGUCUUUUGCAAUCUGAUAUCUUUAAAUUUGCCACCUUGUUAAGAAUUGAUUAAUGUGAUUCCAUUUCACUAAAGUAAUUGGCUUGGCCUGUUGUAAAAAAUAAUCAGGCCCCUCUACGGAACAAAUGCUAGGACAUGCUAAUGAGGGAGGGAGUUCGUUGCCUUGAUGGCGUGGACUGACAGUUAUUAAUGAUUGUUAUGAUAAACAGACGAGUGCGAAUUGGGAUGAGUUGGGCAAAAGUGACAGUUUAAAAAUAACGUAUAUUGGAAAGUACUAACGAAGUAAUAUACUGUUAGGGAAACAAUCAUGCAAGUUGUCAAGGGAAGAAGUGUAAUUAUACAGCCGCACAGGCUGCUUAGGAGGACAGGGACCUGACUGAUAAUGGACACAGUUUUUUGUUGGCAAGAGAGAAAUAUGUUGUGGCAGAAAGAGGUGCAGAUUGAUAAAUUAAUUGGUCCUUCUCACAGCUCAGAGAGCAAACUUGGCCGGUAGUCACCAUGCAGAUUAGAGAGAUGGAGUUUGCCCAGCGCCUUUUUCCCCAGGACCUCCCCAGUGCUGGCUGCCAGACUUUGCUGGGGCUCGCACUUCUCUCCUUACUCCUUCCCUAGCUGCAACAAGUCACCAGAAAUGCAUCCUAAGGCAGUCUGUGAAGACAAGGACUUUGAGCUGGAACACUUGAAGCCGUGUCCAUUUGUUGUUGUUGUUUUUUGUUUUUAAAGACCCUAAAGACUUUAAUGUGCUGUUGUUGCAAAUGUCUUUGGCUGUUAUGGAAGUCAUUAUGGACUGAUUCCAGCUCUGUGAAGGAGGCCACGAGGACUCAGAAGCCAGGGACCUUGUGGGAGUGAUGUGCCAACUCUGUUUGCUAUGCCAGGGUUUGCGUAACUAGCUAAGACAGAUGUGGUGUGAUGUGAUGUGUGUGUGUGUGUGUGUGUGUGUGUGUGUGUAUUUGGGUUUGUGUAGAGGACAAGGCUCCUCUGAAGGAACAGUCUGAGAGGAUCAUGGGAAGUGUGAGAAGGAGGGGUGCCCUAUUUCCAAGGUUGUGUCAAAUGAGUAGAGCAGUACAUGACUUUGCCACUAGUUUUUACUGCAUAGUCAGAGACGAUAGAUAGGUAGCAAGGUGGGUAGAAAGGACGUGACGUGCCUCUGAUACAGCUGUGCUCUGGGGUUUAUGUCUUGGUAGUAUUCUUGUCAACAUUAGCCAACAUAGCUUAAACUCAAAUGGAGGGUUUAUAGUCACUCCGAGAUGUCUCAUGGAACCAAGAUCAGAUGUGUAACCGGUUCUCCUAGUGGUGAGUUAACAGAUUAGGAAAUAGAUCAAGCUAGCUGGUCUUCUAAUCUGUUGUUCUUCCUCUCUCUCUUCCUCAUCCCUUCUUUCCUCAUUUAUUUUCUUCUCCACCACUUCAGGAGAACUAUGGACAUUUGUAUAAGUCCUGGGGCUCAAAGAUGGUGUUUACCUGAAGAUGGGGUGCUGAAAUGAUAGCACCCCACCCCCUGUCUUAAUAUUAGUCUCUUAGGAAGGAAACUUGACUUUGGCAAACUUGCUGAGAUUAAGAGAAGGAACAAGGAGCUGGUUGAUGUCUAGAUUGUGGUACCUGGCUAUUCUGGCCACAAUUCUAUAAGGAUAUAUUUAGCUCUGUCUCCGUGGCCACCUUGUUGGGCAGAGUUGCCCUCCUCAUUUUACAGAUGAUGAUUGAGCACCAAACAUCAGACAACUCACCCUGGAUUCCUCAUCAAGGCUCUCUGUCUCUGAGGUAGAUACUUCUCAUUUGGCUGUACUGCUUGUGUGUACAUUGCUGGAGAGCUUCUCUUGGCUCAGGCUGGUCCAUGGGGUAGAGUUACCUGCUUGAAAAUCAAAGAAAGCCAAAUCAAAGAACAUCUAGGCAAAAAUAUUUCUGCCUCUUUCCUAUUUGGUCUCUUUAAGAAGAGGCAGCACUGGGGACUCUUAAACUUAUUUAUUUCCAUUCAGGUUUCUGCUGCUCCACAUAUGCAAAUACACAGCCACGUGGCCUCAGUUACAGCCUGUGUGGGGUUGUGAGCAGAAAUACAGUCUCAUUAUCUGGCCAUCAAGGCCUACAAAGGCUCCAGAGUUCCCUAUGCAAAACAUCCAGAGCAAUCUUAAAAUCAAAGGAAGCUGCCAAUUACCUCACAGUAAAGCUGACAAUUAUGAAAGAAAUGUUUCACUUCUCCAAGUUGGGAACAGAAAGCAUUCGUUCCAGGGAAGGAGCAGGUAACUAGGAUUUAGUGAAUUCCUGAUGUGCAUUCCAGUGAUACCUAGGACUUCCCAGGCUCUGUCUCAUUUGGGUGGUGGAUACAUGCUCAUUUUAUAGAGGGGAAGUUGCAUGUUCUAAGUGGUUAAAGGCUGGAACUUCCAGAAGUCAGGACAGUAGAAAUGACUAUUCUUUCCUCUGUAAGAAGGCUGUGGUCCUAUAUAACCCAUUUUAAAAAAUAACUUUUUGCCAUUUUGAAGUAUACAGCUCGGUGGCUAUACUUUGUGCUUUGUGCCACAUUUAUGACCAAAUAUUUUGUUUUCUUUAUAAAACCGAAACCUAGUAACCAUUAAUCAACAAUUCAUCAUGCCUUCCUCCCCUUUAGCCCUGGCUGCCUUUCUGUAAGUUUCUGUAUCUCUGAACUUCGUUAUCUAACACAGGGUGCCUUGGAUGGGUAAAUCACACAGCCAUGUCCUUUUUUAUCUGGCUUCUCUCACUUAGCACAGUGUCAUUAAGAUUCUAUCACAUAGUAUCUUGUUUUACAAUUUCUUUCCUUUUUGACAGUAACUUAUACUCUAUUGCAUAUGAGCAUGCCAUUUAGUUUUUUUAUAUAUCUGUCACUGGACACAAGGUUGCUUCCACUCAUUGGCUGUUGUGCAUGAAUGUGGGCGUGUAUGUGUCUUGUCAGUAUUGUCUAUGUGUUAAUGGCCAUCUGGCUUGUCAAUAGUGUAUUAAAAUUAUUUUAGAAUUCUCUUAUUUUUGUGUAUUUGUACAUCUGUGUUUUCCUGUCUAUCUGUAUGGGUGCCUGUGGAAGCCUGAAAAGGGUAUUAUGUAUCCCUUGGAGCUAGAAUUACAAGUAGUUGUGAGAUUUCCAAUCUGUAUGCUGGGAUCUAGACUCCAGUCCUUCGUAAGAGCAACAAACUCUUUUCUUAAGCACUGAGUCUUCUUCCCAGUCUCAACCAGUAGUUUUUGACUAUUACCAAUGAUGGUCUAAAUGUGUAAACCCCACUGUGCUUAUUGGGUCAUCUACUAAUAAACGCUUGGGUUGGUUCCAUUUUUAUUUAGUAUGAAUUAUGUUCCUGUGUACCUGGGUACAGAAAUCUCUGCUUUCGGUUUUUGUGGUACUUAUCUGGAAGCAGAGUUACUGGACAGUGUGCAGAGUGUUGGAGAUUUUGGAGCACUCAGCCCUAGCCCAGAUGUCUUUACUAAACUACUCCCCUUAAGACUCAGGGUCUAUGCAGAAAAGGAGGCAGAAAGACUGUAAAAGCCAGAGGUGGUGGAUGACCCCAAGGAAACAGUAUCUUCUAGACACAACGGGACUGAAUACCAUAAGAACUCACAGAGACUACAACAGCACACAAGUUCAAACCAGACAAAAUUCCAGUACAGAGACAAAGUCCCAUCUCUAACCAAGAAGCUAUUUACAAUUGAUGCUGGAUGGAAAGGGGAGAAUCAGUUUUCUCCAAGGGAGUGUCACUGGGUAUAUCAACAGUAGCCUUGGGCAGGUCCUAUGCCUCUGGAGUAGCUGCCCAACACAAAAGGUACUCCAUGGGUGUGUGUGUGUGUGUGUGUG
rnacentral:sRNA from 1 species